CGGGCGGGACGGGGUGGUGUAACGCGUGGGUAACCUGCCUCAUACAGGGGGAUAACAGUUAGAAAUGACUGCUAAUACCGCAUAAGACCACGGUACCGCAUGGUACAGUGGUAAAAACUCCGGUGGUAUGAGAUGGACCCGCGUCUGAUUAGGUAGUUGGUGGGGUAACGGCCUACCAAGCCGACGAUCAGUAGCCGACCUGAGAGGGUGACCGGCCACAUUGGGACUGAGACACGGCCCAA
rnacentral:rRNA from 1 species